GAGGCCACUGCUAUGGGGGUCCGACUAAGCCAUGCGAGUCAUGGGGCGCGCUCUGCGCGCACCGGCGGACGGCUCAGUAACACGUCGGUAACCUACCCUCGGGAGGGGGAUAACCCCGGGAAACUGGGGCUAAUCCCCCAUAGGCCUGAGGUACUGGAAGGUCCUCAGGCCGAAAGGGUCUCUGACCGCCCGAGGAUGGGCCGGCGGCCGAUUAGGUAGUUGGUGGGGUAACGGCCCACCAAGCCGAAGAUCGGUACGGGCCAUGAGAGUGGGAGCCCGGAGAUGGACACUGAGACACGGGUCCAGGCCCUACGGGGCGCAGCAGGCGCGAAACCUCCGCAAUGCGGGCAACCGCGACGGGGGGACCCCCAGUGCCGUGGCAUCGCCACGGCUUUUCCGGAGUGUAAAGAGCUCCGGGAAUAAGGGCUGGGCAAGGCCGGUGGCAGCCGCCGCGGUAAUACCGGCGGCCCGAGUGGUGGCCGCUAUUAUUGGGCCUAAAGCGUCCGUAGCCGGGCCCGUAAGUCCCUGGCGAAAUCCCACGGCUCAACCGUGGGGCUUGCUGGGGAUACUGCGGGCCUUGGGACCGGGAGAGGCGGAGGGUACUCCUGGGGUAGGGGUGAAAUCCUAUAAUCCCAGGAGGACCGCCAGUGGCGAAGGCGCUCCGCUGGAACGGGUCCGACGGUGAGGGACGAAGGCCAGGGGAGCGAACCGGAUUAGAUACCCGGGUAGUCCUGGCUGUAAAGGAUGCGGGCUAGGUGUCGGGCGAGCUUCGAGCUCGCCCGGUGCCGAAGGGAAGCCGUUAAGCCCGCCGCCUGGGGAGUACGGCCGCAAGGCUGAAACUUAAAGGAAUUGGCGGGGGAGCACUACAAGGGGUGGAGCGUGCGGUUUAAUUGGAUUCAACGCCGGGAACCUCACCGGGGGCGACGGCAGGAUGAAGGCCAGGCUGAAGGUCUUGCCGGACACGCCGAGAGGAGGUGCAUGGCCGCCGUCAGCUCGUACCGUGAGGCGUCCACUUAAGUGUGGUAACGAGCGAGACCCGCGCCCCCAGUUGCCAGUCCUCCCCGCUGGGGAGGAGGCACUCUGGGGGGACCGCCGGCGAUAAGCCGGAGGAAGGAGCGGGCGACGGUAGGUCAGUAUGCCCCGAAACCCCCGGGCUACACGCGCGCUACAAUGGGCGGGACAAUGGGAUCCGACCCCGAAAGGGGAAGGGAAUCCCCUAAACCCGCCCCCAGUUCGGAUCGCGGGCUGCAACUCGCCCGCGUGAAGCUGGAAUCCCUAGUACCCGCGUGUCAUCAUCGCGCGGCGAAUACGUCCCUGCUCCUUGCACACACCGCCCGUCACUCCACCCGAGCGGGGUCUGGAUGAGGCCUGGUCUCCCUUCGGGGAGGCCGGGUCGAGUCUGGGCUCCGUGAGGGGGGAGAA
rnacentral:rRNA from 1 species